GAUGAACGCUGGCGGCGUGCCUAAUACAUGCAAGUCGAGCGAACAGAUAAGGAGCUUGCUCCUUUGACGUUAGCGGCGGACGGGUGAGUUACACGUGGAUAACCUACCUAUAAGACUGGGAUAACUUCGGGAAACCGGAGCUAAUACCGGAUAACAUAUUGAACCGCAUGGUUCAAUAGUGAAAGGCGGCUUUGCUGUCACUUAUAGAUGGAUCCGCGCCGUAUUAGCUAGUUGGUAAGGUAACGGCUUACCAAGGCAACGAUACGUAGCCGACCUGAGAGGGUGAUCGGCCACACUGGAACUGAGACACGGUCCAGACUCCUACGGGGGGCAGCAGUAGGGAAUCUUCCGCAAUGGGCGAAAGCCUGACGGAGCAACGCCGCGUGAGUGAUGAAGGUCUUCGGAUCGUAAAACUCUGUUAUCAGGGAAGAACAAAUGUGUAAGUAACUGUGCACAUCUUGACGGUACCUGAUCAGAAAGCCACGGCUAACUACGUG
rnacentral:rRNA from 1 species